rnacentral:rRNA from 1 species
GACGAACGCUGGCGGCGUGCUUAACACAUGCAAGUCGAACGGAAAGGCCCUGCUUUUGUGGGGUGCUCGAGUGGCGAACGGGUGAGUAACACGUGAGUAACCUGCCCUUGACUUUGGGAUAACUUCAGGAAACUGGGGCUAAUACCGGAUAGGAGCUCCUGCUGCAUGGUGGGGGUUGGAAAGUUUCGGCGGUUGGGGAUGGACUCGCGGCUUAUCAGCUUGUUUGUGGGGUAGUGGCUUACCAAGGCUUUGACGGGUAGCCGGCCUGAGAGGGUGACCGGCCACAUUGGGACUGAGAUACGGCCCAGACUCCUACGGGAGGCAGCAGGGGGGAAUAUUGCACAAUGGGCGGAAGCCUGAUGCAGCAACGCCGCGUGCGGGAUGACGGCCUUCGGGUGGUAAACCGCUUUCGCCUGUGACGAAGCGUGAGUGACGGUAAUGGGUAAAGAAGCACCGGCUAACUACGUG